GACAGAGGGGGCAAGCGUUGCUCGGAAUCACUGGGCGUAAAGGGCGCGUAGGCGGGAUGGCAAGUCAGUCGUGAAAUCUCUCGGCUCAACCGAGAAACGUCGGCUGAUACUGCCGUUCUUGAGGGAUGCAGAGGAGACUGGAAUUCCCGGUGUAGCGGUGAAAUGUGUAGAUAUCGAGAGGAACACCUGCGGCGAAGGCGGGUUGCUGGGCUGACACUGACGCUGAGGCGCGAAAGCUAGGGGAGCGAACGGG
rnacentral:rRNA from 1 species